rnacentral:rRNA from 1 species
GUGGGGAAUAUUGCACAAUGGGCGAAAGCCUGAUGCAGCGACGCCGCGUGAGGGAUGACGGCCUUCGGGUUGUAAACCUCUUUCAGCAGGGACGAAGCGCAAGUGACGGUACCUGCAGAAGAAGCACCGGCUAACUACGUGCCAGCAGCCGCGGUAAUACGUAGGGUGCAAGCGUUGUCCGGAAUUACUGGGCGUAAAGAGUUCGUAGGCGGUUUGUCGCGUCGUUUGUGAAAACCAGCAGCUCAACUGCUGGCUUGCAGGCGAUACGGGCAGACUUGAGUACUGCAGGGGAGACUGGAAUUCCUGGUGUAGCGGUGAAAUGCGCAGAUAUCAGGAGGAACACCGGUGGCGAAGGCGGGUCUCUGGGCAGUAACUGACGCUGAGGAACGAAAGCGUGGGUAGCGAACAGGAUUAGAUACCCCAGUAGUCC